rnacentral:lncRNA from 1 species
CAAACGUAAAAGUAUCUCUUAUUAAACUAAAACCCAGAAAUACGACAUAAGCUAGGCACAAAAUAGCCCAAGAGCGUCUGCGUUGGGGCUAGGCACAAAAAAAGAUAAGUUCUAGCUAUAAAGCUUCCAAAUAUCUACAUGUACAAGCAGAAUCAUUUACAUGCUAACGAACCAACUUUUCUUUUCGAGCUCGUACCCAGGAACAACGGAUAUUCCUAUGUGCCCCUAGAAAAUUAUGACUAAGACCCAGAACCCAAGAGGAGGUCAUUUCAGGCCACUUAACAUCUUAAAUCCAAAACUUCUUUUCACGAGUUUUUCUCGAUGGUGUGGAUUGAGGAGGGAGGGUAGGGGGAGGGGAAGGGGAGGAGGGAGGCUAAAACUAAUGCCCAAUAUUUUAGUUGACAAUGGGCAAGCCCCCAAAACAUCCCAAUGCAGACUGUCGUUGUAUUUGUGUAUUUUAGAUUUUAUUUUAUUACUUUUUUUUGUUUGUUUAGAGUUUAGAGUAAAUGGAGAGUUUGGUAGCCAUUUCAAACCACUGCUUCACUGUUAUGAGAUGGAGUUUUUCCUGUGGUAAAAUAAAAGGAAUUUUUGAGAUAUCUGAUAAAACCUGCGAGCAGGCUUUCACGGCUGCCCACGAGAAAAAAAGCGAGGUCGCGAGAGAAAAGUCGGUCAGCCGGAAAGCGAAAGUGCGUGGCACAAAAAAAAAUUUUUACAAAACGAAUGCCGCCUUUUAAUAUUAUUUGACCUGAAAGCUGCUACACGUCAAGGAAAAUGCAGUCAUGGUAGUAGAUGAUUCAAAGCACCACGAAAAAAAAAAAUUAUGUGGCUCGGCAGCGCAGACAUCACGCAUCGCGGCUGCAAAAGAAAUGCGGUACACAAAUUCCCAAGGACCAUCUGAUUCCAGUGACAUAUUCGUAUGAAAUAGAUCUCUGUUUUUUUCAUUUUAGACCGGCGACUCUGCAUAACUCAUGGACAGAAAACCAUUUCAUUUUGGAAUCGUGUGCUCCCGGUAUGGAAUUUCCUUGAGGCACAUGCUUUCUUUGGCCGCCCACUCGAAGUUAACGACCGGCUCUUUCUAUUUGGCGCAGAGUAUGGUGGUGCAUAUUUCCAUUUUUCCAUCAACAUCGAUAGUAGCCAAGCUUAAUACUGUUUUCUCGCUAACAUACUGGGUAAACUGGCCCCAGAUAGAAGCAGUCUGCUACAUAUAAAUAUGUACGUGUAAUAAUCUAAAGCAUCAAAAAGCAACUCACGGCAAUUUAGUUUCCUUGAAGUUUUAGAUGCCGCAGAAUCUCAGUCAAUAUCACAGUUGCAGAAAUCUUGCAAAGUCAUGAUUCCCCGAUAAAGAAUGUCGCGCGGAUUUCAUCUAAAACCCUGGACGGGAAAGGAACUAUAAAUCUUUCUAUAAUAAGUGAAAUUAUUCUCGCAUUUUGAUUGGUUCUCACCUAUGAUUAGAAGACACGUACAGAGGCAUAGGUGACGUCAAUAUAACCAACCUUUUCCCUUUGUUUUUUAAAAUGGCGGAAACCUUUUCAGAAUGAAGAUAAUAUUUUACGUCACUGGACGAAAAAUAGGGUACAAAAGUCUCUUGUCGAGGCUGUGAACAGGUAUGAGAAGCAGGCGGAAGAAAGGAAAAGCCGGUUUUUUUUUAGGAAAUGACUCAGAAAAAAUACUCGAGCAGUCUAAGUCGGCGGUCUCAGCCGGCAGUCGAGCGGCGAAACUAAGCUAAACACUCGCAUUUAACAAACCCAAUAAGCAAAAUGUUUAUAUGAGAUUAAUUUAUUUACAAAGUUCAACUCUUCUCAGUCAAUUUCCCUUUCUUUUUAUCACAGUAGGGACAUAAUUAUUUUUGUGCCUAAAUUUUAGCAACUCUGCACUACUACUCUGCUACUCUUGUUCUAUUAAGUCUACUUCGCCACUUUAUACAUACACUUCCUGUGAUCGUAUGAUUUAGCUUCAUACUGGAAAAAUCAUCAGCCGUAGUCAAUCAUCAACGUUCUUCUAACUCACUGCUCGCUAUCGCAUCACGCAUUUUAGGUGCCAAAUCCUUUUAACUGUACGACUUUAUUGGUACCGUUUGACCGCUCACUUCAUCAACUGAUUGGACUGAAAUUUCAAGUAGGAGACAUUUUACUGUUCACCCGUUCUUUAGUGGGGAUACAUACGCGUACAAACAUUUACUAUUAGAAGCUUUGACUUUUUUGGCGUUGAGACCCCUUUUUCUGACGUGGUCAUGGCAAAAUGAAAAGACUUUGGAUGGGAAUAUUCACGAUCUGUUUUAGAAGGCGGACAAACUAAAAAGCUAUUAAUAAAAAUACUUCAACAAUGUAUUGCUUGUUGUCUGUUCGCUUUUUCGACUGAUCUGAAAUGAUUUUAUUUUGUUAACAGUUCCAACGUUCCAACUCCCAAGACUGGAAAGAAACCUGGAAAGCGAUAACUGCCUAAAAUCGCUUUUAAAAAUUAGCAGAAAACAAGGAAACAAGGCAUCGAGGAAACUCUUAAACAGGAAGGCAUGCUACGCUCGUUUUACUGGAGGUAUGUGGACGACACCCGUACUGCAAUGCGGGUUAGAGUAACCGCUGACCGAGUUCUACACACCUGAAGCCAUUGCCAUUUUUUGAUUAAAUUAAAUCAAUUAUGGAGAUCGAACAUGACGGAUCGCUCCCCUUUCUGGGCGUGGAAGCCUCAGCCGAGCCCCUAAGAUCGAGUCCAAAGUUCAUAACAAGCCCACGAACCAACAAAGGCCUAAUACUCCAAUACCAGAGCCACGUAGGCAUGCACGUAGGUUCUCCAUGUUGACGUGUUGACUUGACUAGCACGGCCAUUAACAGCACAUCGACACUAGGGUAUCCGACUAACAGCCCUAUCUAUCAUCACAAGGCUGUUGAGUCUCCUACCAUUUAAAGAUCAGAGUUCGACAAAAGAUGUGAGACAGCAACUUGGUAAUCUAACUUUAAAAGUACAAACCUUGUUUGUAAGCCUGAAGCUCAAUGAAGAUCUCAAUGUGCAAGAGGCUAAGCCCUCCAUUAGCUUCCAUUGCUAACCAACACUGCGUACGAACACAAAAGAAACUAUCGUCCUCCAUUUACAAGCUCUACCAACUCGAACAUAAUGGUCGGAUACCACAGAGUCUUCAUUGAGGAGCACUCUGUGGAGACGUCUCAAGAAGAUGAUGACUUCAGCACCGACAGCCCAUUUUCAUAAGUUUCUGGUGUUAGGGUUUAGAUUCUGUAAGCGAGAAAUCUUGUUAAUUAAAGAGAAUUUCCCUGCGUGUGGUGAGCGCAUGGUAAUUGGUUGCCUCAGAAGCAAGGGAAUUUUCGUUUCCCGACAUCGCGUCAGAGAUAUCAUUCGAGAACACGAUCCAGUUGCUGUGCUUCUGCGCUGGGCAGAUAAUCUCCUUAUCAGAUGUGGAUAUGUGGUGUUAACGCAGAUCGUUUCUCUACUUUUACCGGUGUUCGGGACAUUCUUGAUUCAGAGGUAAAUGAAUUUUAUGGUGUUGAUCCUUGCGGUUCCGGAUGCUUUCUCGAAGGCGGCAAUGUUGAAGUGACAAUUCCAGAGAUCAACGUUCCCUUAAUGGCCGAAGAAAUGCAAAGAUUAAAAGAAAAUGUCAAUCCUCUCGACCAAAGAUUACGGCACAGACUUGUUUAUCAGAACGGCACGUUUCGUAGCUGAACAAA